GCAGAUGUGGUGUAACUGGCAACACAGGGGCUUGGUACGCUCCCGAUAUGGGUUCAACCCCCAUCGUCUGAUCCA
rnacentral:tRNA from 1 species